GCUCGUACGGGAUUAUGGAUGGUCAUAUAAGUGAGAUCAAAUGUCACGUUUGCUAGGUGAAUUAUUUUGCUUUCAUGACUUCAUCUGUUUUGGUUUGCUUAUUCUCACUUGUGAUUCGAGAUUAUUGACGUGUGUGAGCAUGCGCGCACAGGGCUGUCGGCCUUAGUAAAAUUAGAACAUCACUCUGAGUGCUGACAGGAAAAAAAAUGAAGAGGAGGGCAGCGCUGGUGGAAUUUUCGGAGAUGACAUGGCCUAUCUGUCAUGAGGUGCAGCUGCUCCUGUCAGAUGCUGUCUUGUGAGCAAAUGUUGAAGACGUUUUGGCAUAAGUUCAGAGAGCACGUAAGGUCGGAGACAGAGAGGAGUCGGUUAAAGCACCAGAUGACUUGGAAUGGAACCGGAAGCCAUGACUAAUACCCACACAGGCUGCAGAACUUUUAAAAGGCCUUCAGUGAUCAUGUGAAAUUGCUUCAUUGGUCAGAAGGGCACGCUUCUUUGCCGUGCCCAAGUGACGGAUCACACCUACGAGCAGGAGGAACUUGAGAGCCGCUGCGGUCAAAAAGGCCCCCCACGGCAUUGGCUUCAAACCAAACAUCCACUUUUAAACUAGGCUUAGGCUUUCAAACUAGUGUUGGGCUUUCAAACUAGCGUUGUAUUUCUCUUUAGCGUAUCAAAGAGAAGUUCAAAUUUGAAAUGCCAUUGUGUCAAAAACAUGCUUUUUGAGGAAUCAUAUGAAAAGAUAACAACUUUUUACGACAAAGAUAUUUCAAAAAACAACCUCACUUAUGCAUCCAUGCAUGGAUUGAAUGGAAAAUCUGAAUGAAA